GGCAUAGCUCAGUGGUAGAGCAUCUGUCUUGCAUGCAGAAGGACCCAGGUUCAAUCCCAGGCAUCUCCG